UACGGGGGGAGCAAGCGUUGUUCGGAUUUACUGGGCGUAAAGGGCGCGUAGGCGGCCACCGCAAGUCGGUUGUGAAAUCUCCGGGCUUAACCCGGAAAGGUCAAUCGAUACUGCGGGCUAGAGUGCAGAAGGGGCAACUGGAAUUCUCGGUGUAGCGGUGAAAUGCGUAGAUAUCGUAAGGAAGACCAGUGGCGAAGGCGGAUCUCUGGACAGCUACUGACACUGAGGCACGAAGGCCAGGGGAGCAAACGGGG
rnacentral:rRNA from 1 species